GCUCCCGUGGCCUAAUGGAUAAGGCGUUGGUCUCCUAAGUUGAGUGGUCAAAGCAGAGAUAACCAACGAUGGGGGUUCAAGUCCCCCCGGGAGCC
rnacentral:tRNA from 1 species